UAACAAGUAACAACUUCGUUAUAUUUAAGUUAAUUCUAUAUGUGACGACUUAAGGGGCGGACUUUGGAGCGAUGCCGCGAUGGUAAGGUUGUUGCCAUGAAAAUAGCCUCUUGCAGAAAUGCAGGGUAAGGACUCGUAAAUCAGGCCCAACUUGGCCCGACACCCUGCUCCUACGGGAGCUGUGUGCACCAGGUUUUCCCUUUAUAUAUGUAACAACUUAAAGGUUAGUAUCUUUAGAAUCUUAUAAGUUGUAGAAAAGCUAGUUGUAAAUAUGUUUUUGAGACCGUUGUUAGUAUCCCUAUUAACUGUAACAACUGUCGUUAGUUAUGGUACUAACAACGUUGUUACAAUUAAGGAUUACAUGCUAUUACGGUAUUACCUAAAGAUCUGUAAACGAGCUUGUGUAUUUGUGAUUCCAAAACUGGAAUUUGCAGUGAUUUUGAUAACAGAGGCGUUCUUUAAUCUUCUCAAGAUUUCAUUUAAGAAUUUGAUUCCCUAUAUAACAGAUCUCCAUGGAAGAAACAAAUGAAACUAAAUACAUACAUACGGGUGUGUAACUCUCACAAGACACGUGAUAAAAGCCUGACACUUAAAACUUAUAAGUUUGUUUCUCUUUAGUUUAAGCUUUUGUAGCUUCCAAUGUAGCUGAGGCCUUGCUGGCUGUGAUUUGUUCAAAGAGAUCUCUGAUUUUCAAACCGACAAUGGUUUGGAAGAGACCGGUUCCGUUGUUGCUGCCCGGGAAGUCGGCAUGCUUCAACAUUUGUUGGGUAAUUUCUCCGUAGAAUUUGGUGGAGAUGUUGCUCAAAUGGCUCUCAACAUAGAUGAGCUCGUCCAGUUUGUCGAAUUGACCAUCCAUCUCCAAUACGGACACCUGGAAAGUAAAACAAAUAUUGGUUUACUUGCUCAUACUAGUGCACAAUAAAGGUGGCAAAAAGGAUUGAUUUGACCGGGUUGAGUAACGGGUCAAUGGGCUUUUUUCACAUUUAAGGUGGCUUGUUUCUUUUUAAGCUAAUCUAUUUAAUUUUACCCGUUUGACCUGUUAGAGAGGAAAGAACACAUGAAUUUACACAUUCGUAAGUUAAUGAUUUGAAAUUUACACCUCUACGAGAGAGAUUGUUAUGUAGAGUUAGGUGUGUAGAGUAACGUGUAAAAGAGCUUUUUUCACAUUUAAGGUGACUUGAAGCAUAGUUGUUAAUGGCGCUCAUAGCGAAGCGCUCAUUCAUAGCUAUCUGAUUCUGGAGCCUCCAUAGCGAGUAAAUAGUGGGAUUUCAGGUUUCAAAUAUAUAAAUAGUGAUAAAAUAUACGUAUACAAUAGCUGGAUUUUAGGUUUUUUGUUAAAUAUAUGUAUAGAAACACCGUAUUUGGAUUUUAAUAUACAUAUAAAAUAUUUCUAAAAUUUUCUUCUAGUGUAUCCCUAAACAUGAAAUAGUGCCUGCUAUUUCAUCGCUGUCGCUAUGUAGCGUAUAGGAUGCUUGUCGCUAUCGUCUGCUAUUCGCUAUUAACAACUAUGACUUGAAGCCAAUUUAACUUUUUUCUUAUUAAGUUUAUUUCGUUAGUUUUACCCGUUUAACUCGGCAGAGAGAAACAAUUACAUGAAUCUACACAUUCAUAAAUAAAUAGGUUGAAAUUUCCACCUCUAUUAGAGAGAUUAUUAUGUGGAGUUAGGGGGGUAGAGUAAUGUAUCAAAGAGCUUUUUUCACGCUGAAGGUGAUUUGCAGCCAAUUUGACUUGUUUCUUAUUAAGCUAGUUUCUUUAAUUUUGACCCGUUUGACUCAUUAGAGAGUAUAUAUCAUGAAUUUACACAUUCAUAGGUAAACUAUUAUGUGAAAUUACUUACCUCUUGACCGUAGUAAGUAUCGGGGCCAUAGGCGAACUUGAUACCCGGGUAAGAACAAGUGAGCUUCCUCCCACAGGGAAUCCAUGAGAUGGUGGAGCCUUCGUCGAACAAGUAAACCGGGCUGAAGUAUUUGACUCCCUCUUUCAUUAUCAGCUUCACUCUCAACACCUUCCCCUCAUUGUCAUCUGGAAUCAGCUGUGUAGGCAACACUUCAAUAACCGCAUCUGCGUAUUGCUUUUGUGGGUCUGCAACAUGAAAAUCAAAUUCAAAACAGAAUCUACUCAAAUUCUAAACCAGGUUUGACCCACCAACCUGUGAACAUGACAAUAUAAGAUCAUUGGUCGGAGUGAAGAGAAUUGGACUUACAUUGGGUGCAAACCUUCAAUGACAAGGAUCUUAGGUGGCUUGAUGAGCUCCGGAGGGUCCAAAAGACCACUAACAUGGUUAUAAAUCGGCUUAUCUACAGCAAUCCCAUCUUUUAAAGCCUUAACCUGUUCAUACAUGAGAUCAAAGUUAUUCGCUCUCGGAUCAAGCGCGGUCACCCCUUCCACCUUCCUCCCUGUUCUAUCCAACGAAUGGUAAUCAUCCAAACAUAUAACCGUUGUCGUGUCACUUAUGAGCGUGUUUGAAUCCGGAUUCCCUCCCUUUGGUGGCUCUGCUGCACCUCCAAACACACUAGUCAACCUCCUCAUGAACGUACUCUUCCCGCACCCCGAGUCGGCUGCUAGCCCGAUUACUAUUGUGUCGCCUGCGCAUCGUAUCUCACCGCCUCUCACCCUGCCCCUAUUGGUCUUUUUAGUAUAGAACAACACUUGUUGUUUUUGAAUUCCCAAAUGGGAUUUUGUUGGUGUUGAGAUUGAACAUGUUGAGUUGAGAGAUUGGACCGUGUACACUGUAGACACUGCCAUUUUUCUCUCUUGAAACUUUUUAAAGUUUUUAGAGUGAAAAGAAUGAUAAGAUAGCUUUUUAAUGAGUAACUGAAAAUGGGUUUUUGGUCAUUUUCUCCCUAGUGAUAGUUAUUGUGAGAUACAGAAUGAAGGAAGAGGUAGCUCAUAGUGGUACUCCUAGAGUUGCACAAGGUACAACUUGUAUACAAUCCCUGACCAUGAAAGUUUGAGGGCAUUUUAGUCAUUCCAACUGUUUGAGGAAAAAAAAAGGAUUGGGUGGUGAAGAUGAGGUGUAGACAUUUGUGAUGAUAGUAUGCAUGAAGAAGCUUGGUGGUUAUUUGUUGCAGUUUGGAUAUUUGUCAUGCCAUGUGGCAUCAAGGUAUUGGUUGAUUGAGGAUGAGGGUAGUUUGUGUGGAAUAGAACUUUGGGUUCUUAUAUGCCAACCAUAUCAGACCUUGACCAUCUUCUUAAUUACAGUACAAUUUUAAAGCAAUAGGUACAAGUAGCUAGUAAGGGUAUGCCCUUUUGGCUUUGGUCAACACUGUUUCAUGGACAUUAUGUGUUAGAUUAUGUUCUAAAGUGAUUUAUUCAAACACAUAGGACAUUGUGGAUAUUUUUUUAUAAUCAUGU
rnacentral:lncRNA from 1 species